UUGGAUUCCGGGACCUGAAGGAGGGCCUUGUGCCUGGCACAAAGGCUCCAACAAGGUGUGCUGAACUGGUGAAGCUGGAAAGACAGACAGAGUCUUGCACUGUCACCCAGCUGGAGUGCAAUGGCACCAUCUAGGCUCACUGCAACCUCCGCCUCCCAGCUCCACAGUAGCCUGGAAAACAAUAGCCUGCAACUAUGGUGAAAACCAGCAGCCUGGCAGUCAUCAGAGGAG